AGAGUUUGAUCCUGGCUCAGAUUGAACGCUGGCGGCAUGCCUUACACAUGCAAGUCGAACGGCAGCACGGGAGCAAUCCUGGUGGCGAGUGGCGAACGGGUGAGUAAUACAUCGGAACGUGCCCAGUAGUGGGGGAUAGCCCGGCGAAAAGCCGGAUUAAUACCGCAUACGACCCUAACGGGUUGAAAGCCGGGGGGAUCCGCAAAGAACCUCCCGCUGGUUGGGAGCGGGCCCAAGGCCAAUUUUACUUUGGUUGGUGGGGGGAAAGGGCUUACCAAGGGCACCAAUUUUUAGCUGGGCUGAAAAGGAAGACCCACCCCCCCCGGGGGACGAGAAAAGGGGAAAAUUUUAAGGGAGGGAGCCGUGGGGGAAUUUUGGAAAUGGGGGCAAGCCUGAUUCCACCAUGCCCCGUGGGGGGAAAAAAGGCCUUCGGUUGUUAAACCCUUUUUUCAGGGAAAAAAAACUCCCGGCCAAUACCCCCGAAUCAUGACGGUACCUGAAAAAAAAACACCGGCUAACUACUUGCAGCAGCCGCGGUAAUACAUAGGGUGCGAGCGUUUAUCGGAAUUACUGGGCGUAAAACGUGCGCACGCGGGUUUGCAGACACAAGUGAGAUCCCCGGGCUUAACCUGGAACUGCAUUUUUGAUGCAUGGCUGGAAUGCGCACAGGAGAAUGAAUUCUCGUGUGCACUGAAAUGCGUAAUAUGCUGAGAAGCCGAUGCGAGCAUCCCCUGGGUGCCUGAGCCUAUGGCGAACUUGGGGCACACGGGAUUAGACUCCCGUGAUAGCCCACGCUCUAAAAUGAAGACAACAUUGUUUGUGAACGGCGUGGAUUUUCAGUAACCGAAGUUACGCGCGUGAAGUUGCCCGCCUAGAGAGUACGUCCCCAAGGUAAGAACCUCAAAGAAAUUGUCGGUGACCCCACACAAGCGGGGGGGAUGAUUGGUCUAAUGAGAUGCAACGGAGAAAAUCCCUCCCUACCUUUUACCACGCCAGGAACUCCCCAAGAGAGGCCUUGGUUUUUAAAAAGAGACCCUGCACACAGGUGGGGCAUGGCCCCUCGUCAUCUUUUUUCGGGAGAAGUGGGGUUUAAUUCCCCGCAAGGGGGCCAACCCCUUAAUCAUUAGUGGUUAGCCCAGGGGCCAUUUUAAUUGGGUCCCCCAGUUCCCAAACCGGGAGAAGGUGGGGGGAGUAUGUCAGUUUUUUCAGGGCUUUUGGGGGUGGGGUCCCCCCCCCCCCAAACAAUGGCCGGUUAAGGGGGGGUUCCCAACCCGGGGAGGGGGAACUAAUUUUCUGAAACCCCGGGUCGUAAUCCCGGAUUGUGAUUUUCAACUUGGCCCCCGUGAAUUCGGAAUCGUUUAGUAAUCGCGGAUCAGCUGGCUGCGGGGAAUACGUUCCCGGGUCUUGUACACACCGCCCGUCACACCAUGGGAGCGGGUUCUGCCAGAAGUAGUUAGCCUAACCGCAAGGAGGGCGAUUACCACGGCAGGGUUCGUGACUGGGGUGAAGUCGUAACAAGGUAACC
rnacentral:rRNA from 1 species